UACGUAGGGUGCAAGCGUUGUCCGGAAUUAUUGGGCGUAAAGGGUUUGUAGGUGGCCUGCUAAGUCAGACGUGAAAUCCCUCAGCUUAACUGGGGAACUGCGUCUGAGACUGGUAGGCUCGAGGACAGGAGAGGAACGCGGAAUUCCAGGUGUAGCGGUGAAAUGCGUAGAUAUCUGGAGGAACACCGGUGGCGAAGGCGGCGUUCUGGACUGUUUCUGACACUGAAAAACGAAAGCCAGGGGAGCAAACGGG
rnacentral:rRNA from 1 species